CUGUAAGCCUGUGAAGGUGUGUCGUGAGGCAUGCUGGAGGUAUCAGAAGUGCGAAUGCUGACAUAAGUAACGAUAAAGCGGGUGAAAAGCCCGCUCGCCGGAAGACCAAGGGUUCCUGUCCAACGUUAAUCGGGGCAGGGUGAGUCGACCCCUAAGGCGAGGCCGAAAGGCGUAGUCGAUGGGAAACGGGUUAAUAUUCCCGUACUUGGUGUUACUGCGAAGGGGGGACGGAGAAGGCUAUGUUGGCCGGGCGACGGUUGUCCCGGUUUAAGCGUGUAGGUGUGUGUUCCAGGUAAAUCCGGUUCACUUUAACACUGAGGCGUGACGACGAGGCACUACGGUGCUGAAGCAACAAAUGCCCUGCUUCCAGGAAAAGCCUCUAAGCAUCAGGUAACAUCAAAUCGUACCCCAAACCGACACAGGUGGUCAGGUAGAGAAUACCAAGGCGCUUGAGAGAACUCGGGUGAAGGAACUAGGCAAAAUGGUGCCGUAACUUCGGGAGAAGGCACGCUGACACGUAGGUGAAGUGAUUUACUCAUGGAGCUGAAGUCAGUCGAAGAUACCAGCUGGCUGCAACUGUUUAUUAAAAACACAGCACUGUGCAAACACGAAAGUGGACGUAUACGGUGUGACGCCUGCCCGGUGCCGGAAGGUUAAUUGAUGGGGUCAGCGCAAGCGAAGCUCCUGAUCGAAGCCCCGGUAAACGGCGGCCGUAACUAUAACGGUCCUAAGGUAGCGAAAUUCCUUGUCGGGUAAGUUCCGACCUGCACGAAUGGCGUAAUGAUGGCCAGGCUGUCUCCACCCGAGACUCAGUGAAAUUGAACUCGCUGUGAAGAUGCAGUGUACCCGCGGCAAGACGGAAAGACCCCGUGAACCUUUACUAUAGCUUGACACUGAACAUUGAGCCUUGAUGUGUAGGAUAGGUGGGAGGCUUUGAAGUGUGGACGCCAGUCUGCAUGGAGCCGACCUUGAAAUACCACCCUUUAAUGUUUGAUGUUCUAACGUGGACCCGUUACCCGGGUUGCGGACAGUGUCUGGUGGGUAGUUUGACUGGGGCGGUCUCCUCCUAAAGAGUAACGGAGGAGCACGAAGGUUGGCUAAUCCUGGUCGGACAUCAGGAGGUUAGUGCAAUGGCAUAAGCCAGCUUGACUGCGAGCGUGACGGCGCGAGCAGGUGCGAAAGCAGGUCAUAGUGAUCCGGUGGUUCUGAAUGGAAGGGCCAUCGCUCAACGGAUAAAAGGUACUCCGGGGAUAACAGGCUGAUACCGCCCAAGAGUUCAUAUCGACGGCGGUGUUUGGCACCUCGAUGUCGGCUCAUCACAUCCUGGGGCUGAAGUAGGUCCCAAGGGUAUGGCUGUUCGCCAUUUAAAGUGGUACGCGAGCUGGGUUUAGAACGUCGUGAGACAGUUCGGUCCCUAUCUGCCGUGGGCGCUGGAGAACUGAGGGGGGCUGCUCCUAGUACGAGAGGACCGGAGUGGACGCAUCACUGGUGUUCGGGUUGUCAUGCCAAUGGCACUGCCCGGUAGCUAAAUGCGGAAGAGAUAAGUGCUGAAAGCAUCUAAGCACGAAACUUGCCCCGA
rnacentral:rRNA from 1 species